rnacentral:tmRNA from 1 species
AAAUCAUUAUUUUUUCUGUAGUAAAAAUGGUAUGUAGGAAUUUCGGACGCGGGUUCAACUCCCGCCAGCUCCACCA